CACAACUACAACUACUACAAGAACCACAACUACUGUUCCUACGAGUACCACCUCCACCACUACAUCAAGAAGCACUGCUGGUGGAAGCACUGCAACCACAACUACUACAAGUAGGACAACCGCUACAACACCAAGAAGCAAGAUCAGUGGCAGCACCUUGAACACCACUACUACUUCUACAAGAGCCUCUAGUCCUUAAUGAAGAAGCCCUACUGGCAGAGGAAAAUCUCCAGCCUCAGAUGCCAAAUCAAAAUACUGCAUUGUCUAUUUUCAUCU